rnacentral:rRNA from 1 species
GACGAACGCUGGCGGCGUGCCUAAUACAUGCAAGUAGAACGCUGAGGGAGGGCCUUUCUUCUCUGGACGAGUUGCGAACGGGUGAGUAACGCGUAGGUAACCUGCCCGGUAGCGGGGGAUAACUAUUGGAAACGAUAGCUAAUACCGCAUAAUAGUUGAUGUUGCAUGACAUUUGCUUGAAAGGUGCGAUUGUAUCGCUACCAGUUGGAGCUUCGUUGCAUGAGGUAGGUGGUGGGGUAACGGCUCACCCAGGCGAAUAUACAGAGUAGAACGGAGAGGGGGGGCCGCCACACUGGGACUGAGACACGGCCCAGACUGCUAGGGGAAGCAGCCGUAGGGCAUCUUCGGGCAGGGGCGGAAGGCUGACCGAGCAACGCCGCGUGAGUGAAGAAGGGUUUCGGAUCGGAAAGCUCGGUUGUAAGGGAAGAAAGAGUGUGAGAGUGGAAAGUUCACACUGUGACGGUAUCUUACCAGAAAGCGACGGCUAACUACGUG